UUAAGCGACUAAGCGUACACGGUGGAUGCCCUGGCAGUCAGAGGCGAUGAAGGACGUGCUAAUCUGCGAAAAGCGUCGGUAAGGUGAUAUGAACCGUUAUAACCGGCGAUGUCCGAAUGGGGAAACCCAGUGCAAUUCGUUGCACUAUCGUUAACUGAAUACAUAGGUUAACGAGGCGAACCGGGGGAACUGAAACAUCUAAGUACCCCGAGGAAAAGAAAUCAACCGAGAUUCCCCCAGUAGCGGCGAGCGAACGGGGAGCAGCCCAGAGUCUGAAUCAGCUUGUGUGUUAGUGGAACGGUCUGGAAAGUCCGACGGUACAGGGUGAUAGUCCCGUACACCAAAAUGCACAGGCUGUGAACUCGAAGAGUAGGGCGGGACACGUGGUAUCCUGUCUGAAUAUGGGGGGACCAUCCUCCAAGGCUAAAUACUCCUGACUGACCGAUAGUGAACCAGUACCGUGAGGGAAAGGCGAAAAGAACCCCGGCGAGGGGAGUGAAAAAGAACCUGAAACCGUGUACGUACAAGCAGUGGGAGCACCUUCGGGUGUGACUGCGUACCUUUUGUAUAAUGGGUCAGCGACUUAUAUUCUGUAGCAAGGUUAACCGUAUAGGGGAGCCGCAGGGAAACCGAGUCUUAACUGGGCGUUAAGUUGCAGGGUAUAGACCCGAAACCCGGUGAUCUAGCCAUGGGCAGGUUGAAGGUUGGGUAACACUAACUGGAGGACCGAACCGACUAAUGUUGAAAAAUUAGCGGAUGACUUGUGGCUGGGGGUGAAAGGCCAAUCAAACCGGGAGAUAGCUGGUUCUCCCCGAAAGCUAUUUAGGUAGCGCCUCGUGAACUCAUCUUCGGGGGUAGAGCACUGUUUCGGCUAGGGGGUCAUCCCGACUUACCAACCCGAUGCAAACUACGAAUACCGAAGAAUGUUAUCACGGGAGACACACGGCGGGUGCUAACGUCCGUCGUGAAGAGGGAAACAACCCAGACCGCCAGCUAAGGUCCCAAAGUCAUGGUUAAGUGGGAAACGAUGUGGGAAGGCACAGACAGCCAGGAUGUUGGCUUAGAAGCAGCCAUCAUUUAAAGAAAGCGUAAUAGCUCACUGGUCGAGUCGGCCUGCGCGGAAGAUGUAACGGGGCUAAACCAUGCACCGAAGCUGCGGCAGCGACACUAUGUGUUGUUGGGUAGGGGAGCGUUCUGUAAGCCUGCGAAGGUGACCUGUGAGGGUUGCUGGAGGUAUCAGAAGUGCGAAUGCUGACAUAAGUAACGAUAAAGCGGGUGAAAAGCCCGCUCGCCGGAAGACCAAGGGUUCCUGUCCAACGUUAAUCGGGGCAGGGUGAGUCGACCCCUAAGGCGAGGCCGAAAGGCGUAGUCGAUGGGAAACAGGUUAAUAUUCCUGUACUUGGUGUUACUGCGAAGGGGGGACGGAGAAGGCUAUGUUAGCCGGGCGACGGUUGUCCCGGUUUAAGCAUGUAGGCUGGUUGUCCAGGCAAAUCCGGAUAAUCAAGGCUGAGGUGUGAUGACGAGGCACUACGGUGCUGAAGUAACAAAUGCCCUGCUUCCAGGAAAAGCCUCUAAGCAUCAGGUAACAUCAAAUCGUACCCCAAACCGACACAGGUGGUCAGGUAGAGAAUACCAAGGCGCUUGAGAGAACUCGGGUGAAGGAACUAGGCAAAAUGGUGCCGUAACUUCGGGAGAAGGCACGCUGGUGUGUAGGUGAAGUCCCUGCGGAUGGAGCUGAGACCAGUCGAAGAUACCAGCUGGCUGCAACUGUUUAUUAAAAACACAGCACUGUGCAAACACGAAAGUGGACGUAUACGGUGUGACGCCUGCCCGGUGCCGGAAGGUUAAUUGAUGGGGUUAUCCGUAAGGAGAAGCUCUUGAUCGAAGCCCCGGUAAACGGCGGCCGUAACUAUAACGGUCCUAAGGUAGCGAAAUUCCUUGUCGGGUAAGUUCCGACCUGCACGAAUGGCGUAAUGAUGGCCAGGCUGUCUCCACCCGAGACUCAGUGAAAUUGAACUCGCUGUGAAGAUGCAGUGUACCCGCGGCAAGACGGAAAGACCCCGUGAACCUUUACUAUAGCUUGACACUGAACAUUGAGCCUUGAUGUGUAGGAUAGGUGGGAGGCUUUGAAGCGUGGACGCCAGUCUGCGUGGAGCCAACCUUGAAAUACCACCCUUUAAUGUUUGAUGUUCUAACGUUGGCCCCUGACCGGGGUUGCGGACAGUGUCUGGUGGGUAGUUUGACUGGGGCGGUCUCCUCCCAAAGCGUAACGGAGGAGCACGAAGGUUAGCUAAUCCUGGUCGGACAUCAGGAGGUUAGUGCAAUGGCAUAAGCUAGCUUGACUGCGAGCGUGACGGCGCGAGCAGGUGCGAAAGCAGGUCAUAGUGAUCCGGUGGUUCUGAAUGGAAGGGCCAUCGCUCAACGGAUAAAAGGUACUCCGGGGAUAACAGGCUGAUACCGCCCAAGAGUUCAUAUCGACGGCGGUGUUUGGCACCUCGAUGUCGGCUCAUCACAUCCUGGGGCUGAAGUAGGUCCCAAGGGUAUGGCUGUUCGCCAUUUAAAGUGGUACGCGAGCUGGGUUUAGAACGUCGUGAGACAGUUCGGUCCCUAUCUGCCGUGGGCGCUGGAGAAUUGAGGGGGGCUGCUCCUAGUACGAGAGGACCGGAGUGGACGCAUCACUGGUGUUCGGGUUGUCAUGCCAAUGGCACUGCCCGGUAGCUAAAUGCGGAAGAGAUAAGUGCUGAAAGCAUCUAAGCACGAAACUUGCCCCGAGAUGAGUUCUCCCUGAGACUUUAAGUCUCCUGAAGGAACGUUGAAGACGACGACGUUGAUAGGCCGGGUGUGUAAGCGCAGCGAUGCGUUGAGCUAACCGGUACUAAUGAACCGUGAGGCUUAACCUU
rnacentral:rRNA from 2 species